rnacentral:lncRNA from 1 species
GCUCCCUCAUGCAGACUCUGCAAGCCAAGAGGCCGUGGAGGCAAAUGCAGGCAGCCAGCACACCUCGAACAGCCACCUUGACUGUGGGUGUGUCAGUAGAUUCCUGUUGUACAUAUGCUCAUAAUAAACUUCAGUAAACUUGAA